UAAGCAGCUGAGGCUUUUGGAGUGUC
rnacentral:piRNA from 1 species